CUUGGUCAUUUAGAGGAAGUAAAAGUCGUAACAAGGUCUCCGUUGGUGAACCAGCGGAGGGAUCAUUACAGAGUUGCAAAACUCCCUAAACCAUUGUGAACGUUACCUUCAAACCGUUGCUUCGGCGGGCGGCCCGGGUCCGCCCGGUGCCCCCUGGCCCCCUAGCGGGGCGCCCGCCGGAGGAAACCCAACUCUUGAUUAUUAUGGCCUCUCUGAGUCUUCUGUACUGAAUAAGUCAAAACUUUCAACAACGGAUCUCUUGGUUCUGGCAUCGAUGAAGAACGCAGCGAAAUGCGAUAAGUAAUGUGAAUUGCAGAAUUCAGUGAAUCAUCGAAUCUUUGAACGCACAUUGCGCCCGCCAGUAUUCUGGCGGGCAUGCCUGUUCGAGCGUCAUUUCAACCAUCAAGCCCCAGGCUUGUGUUGGGGACCUGCGGCUGCCGCAGGCCCUGAAAACCAGUGGCGGGCUCGCUGUCACACCGGGCGUAGUAGAUUUUAUCUCGCUCAGGGCGUGCUGCGGGUUCCGGCCGUUAAAAAGCCUUUUUUACCCAAGGUUGACCUCGGAUCAGGUAGGAAUACCCGCUGAACUUAAGCAUAUCAAUAAGCGGAGGAAAAGAAACCAACAGGGAUUGCCCCAGUAACGGCGAGUGAAGCGGCAACAGCUCAAAUUUGAAAUCUGGCUUCGGCCCGAGUUGUAAUUUGCAGAGGAAGCUUUAGGCGCGGCACCAUCUGGGUCCCCUGGAACGGGGCGCCACAGAGGGUGAGAGCCCCGUAUAGAUGGACGCCUAGCCUGUGUAAAGCUCCUUCGACGAGUCGAGUUGUUUGGGAAU
rnacentral:sRNA from 1 species